GACCACUGACAGCAUAAUCAAGAUGGAGGAUUUGUUUGAAAGUUUAUGGUUUAAUUAUGUCAAAACAGUAAAUUUUAAAUGAGGAAUAUAGAAAAAAUAUGCAUUGAAAUCUUUAAAUACAGAACCCGACAUUUUUAAAGCAUUAUAAAAUUUACCUAAUUUUAACUGAAAUUUGCAUAUAAAAUCAACUUUAAUAAUAUGGAAAUAAAACAAGAAACUACGGUGAAAACUUGUAAAAUAGAAACAUAUAAUGAGGCGUGUGAUGGUUCCUUGGAUGUCUUCAAAAUAAUUGAAAUUAAGGAAGAACCCAAGGGAGAAUGUGCAUAUUAUGAUACAUUUGAUUAUGGAGACUUAAAAAAUGAAUUUCCCCUAAAAACUGAAGUAGAAGAUGAAUAUAAAUUGACAUCUUUUGAAGAAAAGCAAACGAAGAAUGAAGAAAGUAGUCCCCAAGAAGAUAACAAAACUGAGAUUAUGGAAACUUCAACUGCACAUCCAUCUCAUAAAGGAAAAUGUAAUAGGCCUUACAAAUGUGAAACUUGUUUUAAACAAUUUACUCGACCACGCAAUUUGAAAAUUCAUUUGAGAGUGCACAAUGGAGAAAAACCUCACAAGUGUGAAAUUUGUUUUAAGCAAUUUAGUGAAAGAGGCACUUUGAAAAGACAUCUGAGAGUUCAUACUGGGGAAAAACCUUACAAGUGUGAGGUUUGUUGUAAGCAGUUUUCUCAGAAAGCUAAUUUGGAAACUCAUUUGACAGUGCAUAUUGGAGAAAAACAUUACAAGUGUGAGAUUUGUUUAAAGCAAUUUUUUAGAGGCAGUGCUUUGAAAAGGCAUAUGAAAGUGCACACUGGGGAAAAACCUUACAAGUGUGAGAUUUGUUUUAACCAAUUUAGUGAAGCAAGUACUUUGAAAGGUCAUUUGAUUAUACACACUAAAGAAAAACAAUACAAGUGCGAGAUUUGUUUUAAUACAUUUUUUAAAGCCAGUGCUUUGAAAAUGCAUGUGAGAGUGCACACUGGGGAAAAACCUUAUAAGUGUGAGAUUUGUUUAAAGCAAUUUUCUAAGAAAUCCAAUUUGGAAAGUCAUUUGACAGUGCAUACCGGAGAAAAACAUUACAAGUGUAAUAUUUGUUUUAAGCAAUUUGUUAAAGUCAGUGCUUUCAAAAAGCAUAUGAGAGUGCAUACUGGGGAACAGCCUCUCGGUGUGAAAUUUGUUUAAAGCGGUUUUCUGACAAAAAAGACAUCUGAGAGUUCAUACUGGGAAAAACCUUAGAAGUGUGAGGUUUGUUGUAAGCAGUUUUCUCAGAAAGCUAAUUUGGAAUGUCAUUUGAUACAGCACACUGGACAAAAACAAUAUAAGUGCGAGAUUUGUUUUAAGCAAUUUAGUGAAAGAGGCACUUUGAAAAGACGUCUAAGAGUUCAUACUGGGGAAAAACCUUACAAGUGUGAGGUUUGUUUUAAGCAAUUUUUUAGAUUCAGUGAUUUAAAAAGAGAUACGAGAGUGCAUACUGGGGAAAAACCUCACAAGUGUGACAUAUGUUUUAAGCAAUUUAGUGAAGCAAGUAAUUUGAAAGAGCAUUUGAUUACACACACUGGGGAAAAACGUAAAGCGUGUGAGAUUUGUUGUGGUCUCCAAGAGGAUAAGAAAAUGGAAAUUAUGAAAACUUCAACUGCACAUUCUUCUCCUAAAGGAAAAUGUACUAGUCCUUACAAAUGUGAAACUUGUCUUAAGCAGUUUACUCGAACAGACGGUUUGAAAAUUCAUUUGAGAGUUCACACUGGAGAAAAGCCAUACAAGUGUGAAAUUUGUUUUAAGCAAUUUAGUGAAGGAGGCACUUUGAAAAGACAUUUGAGAGUUCAUACUGG
rnacentral:misc_RNA from 1 species